rnacentral:rRNA from 1 species
CAGCAGUGGGGGAAUAUUGCACAAUGGGCGCAAGCCUGAUGCAGCCAUGCCGCGUGUGUGAAGAAGGCCUUCGGGUUGUAAAGCACUUUCAGUCGUGAGGAAGGUAGUGUAGUUAAUAGCUGCAUUAUUUGACGUUAGCGACAGAAGAAAGCACCGGCUAACUCCGUGCCAGCAGCCGCGGUAAUACGGAGGGUGCGAGCGUUAAUCGGAAUUACUGGGCGUAAAGCGCAUGCAGGUGGUUUGUUAAGUCAGAUGUGAAAGCCCGGGGCUCAACCUCGGAAUUGCAUUUGAAACUGGCAGACUAGAGUACUGUAGAGGGGGGUAGGAAUUUCAGGUGUAGCGGUGAAAAUGCGUAGAGAUCUGAAGGAAUACCGGUGGCGAAGGCGGCCCCCUGGACAGAUACUGACACUCAGAUGCGAAAGCGUGGGGAGCAAACAGGAUUAGAUACCCUGGUAG